AUCCACGGUUCGGCCUCAAUUCCGUAGUGCAUUGCAGUGUAGACUGUUACAAGCACGACUGCAAGCAUUGUGGGAGUGAAGUCGCCCGUUGGAAUUCAG
rnacentral:pre_miRNA from 12 species